AUUGAACGCUGGCGGCAUGCUUUACACAUGCAAGUCGAACGGUAACAGGCCGCAAGGUGCUGACGAGUGGCGAAUGGGUGAGUAAUGCAUCGGAACGUGCCCAGUCGUGGGGGAUAACUACUCGAAGGAGUAGCUAAUACCGCAUACGAUCUAUGGAUGAAAGCGGGGGACCGUAAGGCCUCGCGCGAUUGGAGCGGCCGAUGUCAGAUUAGGUAGUUGGUGGGGUAAAGGCUCACCAAGCCAACGAUCUGUAGCUGGUCUGAGAGGACGACCAGCCACACUGGGACUGAGACACGGCCCAGACUCCUACGGGAGGCAGCAGUGGGGAAUUUUGGACAAUGGGCGCAAGCCUGAUCCAGCAAUGCCGCGUGCAGGAAGAAGGCCUUCGGGUUGUAAACUGCUUUUGUACGGAACGAAACGGCUCUGGUUAAUACCCGGGGCUAAUGACGGUACCGUAAGAAUAAGCACCGGCUAACUACGUG
rnacentral:rRNA from 1 species